rnacentral:lncRNA from 1 species
AGAGAGAAUGACAUUUUGGGGUUGGAGGAUUCUUGAGAUGUUGAGAGAAUGAGAUGUGAGGUCUUGUAAAAGAGAACGACGACGUGGCUGUUGAAAGCGUUGAUGCGUGUGCGAGGCUGAAGUGGAUUUGUGACAAAUGAGCUUAAAGGAGGAGAGAGAAUUUCUGAUGUGGAAAAUGAAGGAAAGAGUGGUGUGAAUGGAAGGUGGCUAGAGGAGGAUCCUUAGGAUUCUCUAGCCUUGACUCCCAAGGAGAAUUGUUUCUAGACUGAUCUCUAUAGAAUGACAAUCCAUUAAUCUCAAAAGUGUCAUUUUCAAAGGUGUUUAUCAUGCCUUUAUAAG